GGGCUCGGUUUGGCAGCACAUAUACUAAAAUUGGAACUUUAUAGCGAAGAUUAGCAUGGCCCCUGCACAAGGAUGACACACAAAUUUGUGAAGUGUUCUAUAUUUCU